rnacentral:lncRNA from 1 species
CUCAAAGAACAGACGUCAUCACCAUGCAAUACACAAGACACACACAACCAUGGCAUCCAAACCAAGGACCACAAUGGAACACACAAGACUCAAAAACCACAGCAUCCAAACCAAGGACCACAAUGCAAUACACAAGACACACGCAACCACACAGACAACUCAAACGACACAGACGUCAUCACAAUGCAAUACACAGGACACACACAACCACACAGACGACUCGAAUGACACAGACGUCAUCACAAUGCAAUACACAAGACACACACAACCACACAGACGACUCAAAUGACACAGGCGUCAUCACAAUGCAAUAAAGACACACACAACCACACAGACGACUCGAAUGACACAGGCGUCAUCACAAUGCAAUACACAAGACACACACAACCACGCAGACGACUCGAAUGACACAGACGUCAUCACAAUGCAAUACACAAGACACACACAACCACGCAGACAACUUGAAUGACACAGACGUCAUCACAAUGCAAUACACAGGACACACACAACCACGCAGACGACUCGAAUGACACAGACGUCAUCACAAUGCAAUACACAAGACACACACAACCACGCAGACGACUCGAAGGACACAGACAUCAUCACAAUGCAAUAAAGACACACACAACCACACAGACGACUCGAAUGACACAGACGUCAUCACAAUGCAAUACACAGGACGCACACAACCACGCAGACGACUCGAAGGACACAGACGUCAUCACAAUGCAAUACACAGGACACACACAACCACGCAGACGACUCGAAUGACAC